AUGCUUGCUUUGGAAGCACAUAUACUAAAAUCGGAACGAUACAUAGAAGAUUAGCAUGGCCUCUGCACAAGGAUGACAUGCAAAUUCGUGAAGCAUCCCAUAUAUAU
rnacentral:snRNA from 1 species